rfam:Beta vulgaris subsp. vulgaris Bvchr1.sca001.con0091.1, whole genome shotgun sequence.
AGCCUAUUAGCUCAAUCGGAAGAGCAUUGUGUUUUUUCACAAAGGUUGUGGGUUCAAAUCCUGCAUGGGCUA